rnacentral:rRNA from 1 species
CAAUAGCGUAUAUUUAAGUUGUUGCAGUUAAAAAGCUCGUAGUUGGAUUUUGGGUCGGGGGCACCGGUCCGCCGUUCCGGUGUGCACUGGUGGCCCCUUCCUUUCUGCCGGGGACGUGCGUCGCACUUAAUUGGGUGGCGUUCGGAGUCGGCGUUGUUACUUUGAAAAAAUUAGAGUGUUCAAAGCAAGCCAUCGCUCUGAAUACAUUAGCAUGGAAUAACAUGAUAGGACUCCGGUCUUAUUUUGUUGGUUUCCGAGACCGGAGUAAUGAUUAAGAGGGACAGUCGGGGGCAUCCGUAUUUCAUUGUCAGAGGUGAAAUUCUUGGAUUUAUGAAAGACGAACUUCUGCGAAAGCAUUUGCCAAGGAUGUUUNCAUUAA